rnacentral:lncRNA from 1 species
UGAGCCUUGCAACGAAUAUAUUCAGAGCUUUGAUAUUAUUGCCUUCAACAAAAUAUAAGCAAAAUACUUAUAUGCUACUGAUUCUAGUGUUAGCCAUUUUGGCAACUUAGUAUUUUUGGUCUGUGAUUUAUUUCUUUCUUUUUGUUUUUUUGUUUUUUUGUUUUUUUUUUCUUUUCCCAACAUUUUUCCAUCUUCUGUUUCUAUUCUCUAGAUUGGUGAGAAUUGAAAAAAUGAACAAUUAAAAACCUGUUCUGUUGGUUAC